AAGUCGUUCGGCGGUUUGCAUGUCAACCGUGACGUUUCCUUCAGUCUCGGCAAGGGUGAUCGCGUGGCGCUGAUCGGUCCCAACGGCGCGGGCAAGACCACGCUGGUCAACGUGAUCUCCGGUGAUCUGUCGCCGUCCGAUNNNGGGCAAUGACCUGACGGCGGUCUCGAUUCCCGGCCGCGUCCGGCAGGGGCUGGCGCGGACGUUCCAGAUCACCCGGCUUUUCACCAGUCUCUCGGUCGCGGAAAACGUCGCGUUGG
rnacentral:misc_RNA from 1 species